UUAAGUCAGGUGGUCAAAGUACAGCAAAUUGCUAAAUUAUAUUCUUCUGCAUCUCGUUUGUGCAGAGAAGCUGGAAAUGAUAUUUGGGUUUGUUUGGUUUGUAGAUGUUGAAGUCGGUGUUGUUCUGAUGCUUACUUGAGAUUGCUUUUGCUUGUGGUGGGGUUUUACUUAAAUGUUGCGUUACUUGGGGCUUUAGAUAAUAGCUGUUAGUUUGGACAGUAGUUGUGCUUUUGCUUGUGAUGGUGGUAUUGUAAUGUUUGUCUUAUGGGUCUUGGUUUGUGCCCUGAUCCUUACUAGGCUUAAGGAAUACUCUGUAGGUUCAAAUUAAUUCAAGAAGUGGGCGUAGUUUUACAUUUAUGCUUGUUGCUAGAUACAAGAACCAGUUUGCCAAAUUUCCUGGUUAAUGCUGGUUUAUAAGCUUGUUAUCAAUUUUAUUGAUUUCAUUUAAGCUGAUCCUUUGCAGAUGAAGUGUUCUGCAUAAGAAAGUAUUGGUAUGCAGCAUAUAACUUACCCUUUUGGGCUCUUAAGUUUUCUUUGCUAUCUGUAACUCUUUAUUUUCUGGGAAAGGCUCAAGGGUGCAUUUCAGGCAUAUGCUCCUUUGCAAAUGUUAUAUCUCCCUUUGCUUUCUCUCCUCUGAUAGGUGUUUUGAAUUUCCAUUUUACUCUCUUGCUUAGCCAAUUUUUCUCCCAUUUUAAACUAAGAAUGUCAACUCUUUCUUUUAGCUACACAAAGUCCUUGUUUCUGGAGGUAAGGAACAGAAAAUGUUGAGAUUUAUGAAUAAUUUUCAGAUGAAUGUGUUUUGAUUUUGUUGUAUUUUGGUUGGUUUUGCCUUUUUUUUGUUUUGUUCUUGAUUUUGUUUGGUCAUUUUUGAGCUCUUGGUUUGCUUGGUUUGUGCUCAUGCUUUGCUUUUGAAUACUUCGGUUUUGUUGUUCAUAAGCUUUUCCAUUUUUUUCUUUUCAUUGCACAGAGAGUAGCCAAGUGCAGACUUCAAAAAGAUUAGUGCUCAUGUUCACCAGUUCAAGGGUAGCAACUCCAGGUCCAUUGGCGAUGCACUAAGGACUGGAACCUUAAGUUACAAGUAUUUUAAUUUCUUUAGGAGACUUCAAUUGUUAUUGUAUAUGGAGAAGUUUAGGCCAUAUUUCCCCUUCUCCCUACUCCUUGGUACUCAUUUUAUCAAAAAUAAUAUUAAUGAGAAUUUUCUUUUGGUUACACUUU